rnacentral:rRNA from 1 species
AAUCAACGCUGGCGGCGUGCCUAACACAUGCAAGUCGCACGAGAAAGGGGAGCAAUCCCCGAGUAAAGUGGCGCACGGGUGAGUAACACGUGACUAACCUACCCUCGAGUGGGGAAUAACCUAGAGAAAUCUGGGCUAAUACCGCAUAACACUUACGAGUCAAAGCAGCAAUGCGCUUGAGGAGGGGGUCGCGGCAGAUUAGCUAGUUGGCGGGGUAAUGGCCCACCAAGGCAAUGAUCUGUAUCCGGCCUGAGAGGGCGCACGGACACACUGGAACUGAAACACGGUCCAGACUCCUACGGGAGGCAGCAGUGGGGAAUUUUGCGCAAUGGGGGAAACCCUGACGCAGCAACGCCGCGUGGAGGAUGAAAUCCCUUGGGAUGUAAACUCCUUUCGAUAGGGAAGAUAAUGACGGUACCUAUAGAAGAAGCCCCGGCUAACUUCGUGCCAGCAGCCGCGGUAAC